AGUGAACGCUGGCGGUAGGCCUAACACAUGCAAGUCGAACGGCAGCACAGAGGAGCUUGCUCCUUAGGUGGCGAGUGGCGGACGGGUGAGGAAUACAUCGGAAUCUACUCUGUCGUGGGGGAUAACGUAGGGAAACUUACGCUAAUACCGCAUACGACCUACGGGUGAAAGCAGGGGACCUUCGGGCCUUGCGCGAUUGAAUGAGCCGAUGUCGGAUUAGCUAGUUGGCGGGGUAAAGGCCCACCAAGGCGACGAUCCGUAGCUGGUCUGAGAGGAUGAUCAGCCACACUGGAACUGAGACACGGUCCAGACUCCUACGGGAGGCAGCAGUGGGGAAUAUUGGACAAUGGGCGCAAGCCUGAUCCAGCCAUACCGCGUGGGUGAAGAAGGCCUUCGGGUUGUAGAGCCCUUUUGUUGGGAAAGAAAUCCAGCUGGCUAAUACCCGGUUGGGAUGACGGUACCCAAAGAAUAAGCACCGGCUAACUUCGUGCCAGCAGCCGCUGUAA
rnacentral:rRNA from 1 species